rnacentral:rRNA from 1 species
CAAAAGCGUAUAUUAAAGUUGUUGCAGUUAAAAAGCUCGUAGUUGAACCUUGGGCUUGGCUGGCCGGUCCAUCUUUUUUGAUGCGUACUGGACCCAGCCGAGCCUUUCCUUCUGGCUAGCCUUUUGGCGAACCAGGACUUUUACUUUGAAAAAAUUAGAGUGUUCAAAGCAGGCCUUUGCUCGAAUAUAUUAGCAUGGAAUAAUAGAAUAGGACGUUAUGGUUCUAUUUUGUUGGUUUCUAGGACCAUCGUAAUGAUUAAUAGGGACGGUCGGGGGUAUCAGUAUUCAGUUGUCAGAGGUGAAAUUCUUGGAUUUACCGAAGACUAACUACUGCGAAAGCAUUUACCAAGGACGUUUUCAUUAA